AUGGAGCGAUCUUUCACGGCCGCCUCCUUCCAGCCCCCCGUCGUCGAUCCAGCCGGCGCCAACCCCUCCCGCUACCCCUCCUGGGUCCUCCUCGACAGCAUAGCCUACCUCGCCGACCGCGACAACGCCACCACCGUGAAGGGCAGGGCCAGCACGGGGCACGAAUUCAAGGUCAGCUUCUGCCUCGCCGACCCGCCUGCCGUCUCCUACUUCUGCGUCCACUUUCCCGGGAUCAGCAUACAAGAGGUUUGCACCACGGAGCCCCGCGUCGUCUCCUCCGCCGAUGAUCUCGUCCUCCUCUGCUUCGCCUUCAAAACCAACCCACCUAGCACAGACGAAGACUCCCAGCACCUCGAGUACUUCGUCUACAAGGCUGCCCCCGGUGGCAAGCAUACCAUCAGACCCGUCCCUUGUUCUCCUCCAGCCUACAAACACUCAUGGCACGCUGCCAUCGUGCCCCGCGAGGGCGACAAUUUCCUGGUCGCUGAUCUUUCCCCGAAUGGAGAAGACCUUGGGCACUACAACCUGCACAUCUUCUCGUCGGAGACGAACGAGUGGAGCACCAAACACCUGCAGCUGCAGGCGCCCAUCUCGGAUGUCCUGCCACGGGACUUGCCAAGCCAAAUCGACAAGGUGAUCACUCUCGGAGAAAGCAUGGUAGGAUGGGUCGACCUCUGGCGCGGCAUCGUCGUGUGCGAUGUGCUUGAGAAGGAUCCUAUUCUCUGCUUCCUCCCGCUGCCCAAGGCCGAUUUUGACCUGCACCGGGAAAGUCGAGCACGGCAAGUGCGGGACGUCAUAGGCUUCCCAAAUGGUUUCAUCAACUUCGUCGAGAUUGAACACUGUGUCAGAUGGUUGACUGUUGUCAGAAAGAGCACUUCGACAGAUAUCAUCUAUGAUGCGGAGCUCCUCAACCAUGAUGAUAUGGACGUUACAGAUGACCAACCUUAUUAUGAACCUGCUGGCUGGAAGAUUCGGACAAUGCUUAGGAGCAUUUUUUGGAACUAUUGGCACAAGAGUCACAUUGUCCAUGUUGAUGAAGUAUCAGCCUUUCCACCUGCACCCUCUAAGCUGCAUCAUCAUCUAUGGAAUGGUAAAGACAAUAAAUGGACAUUGGGAAACCUCAAGACUACGAGCUUCCCGACCUUCAGUGUUUACAGUGGUAAUGUUGUCUACCUCGUGUCUAAGGUGGAGUCUCAGGAAGAAGACACAUUGCUUGUUGGUGUUGAUAUUGGAAAGAAGAAGCUGGAAGUCAUCGACCAAUAUUGUUGCGGGAGAUCCAUUUCCUUUGAUCCCAUUCCACUUCUUUGUGUUGCUAUUGUAAAGAAGUGGGAAGUCACCGAACCAUAUUGCGGCGGGAGAUCCACUUCUUUUGAUCCCAUUUCCUGUGCAUUCUCCGAAUAUCUGAAUACCACUCCAAGUCCAAGGCAUGGUUUUCUUUUACUUUGCUUCUGUUCACAAAACUCAAGAAAAAGGAUUUGUCAAACCAGUUCUGAACUUAUUUUACCUCACGACACCUGA
rnacentral:rRNA from 1 species